AUUGAACGCUGGCGGCAGGCCUAACACAUGCAAGUCGAGCGGAUGAAGGGAGCUUGCUCCUGGAUUCAGCGGCGGACGGGUGAGUAAUGCCUAGGAAUCUGCCUGGUAGUGGGGGAAAGGUUCCGAAACGGGGGCUAAGACCGCAGACGCCCGGAGGGAGAAAGUUGGGGAUCCUCGGACCUCACGCGAUCAGAUGAGCCUAGGUCGGAUUAGCUAGUUGGUGGGGUAAAGGCCUUCCAAGGCGACGAUCCGUAACUGGUCGCAGAGGAUGAGCAGUCACCCUGGAACUGAGACACGGCCCCGACUCCUACGGGAGGCAGCAGUGGGGACUAUUGGACAAUGGGCGAAAGCCUGAUCCAGCCAUGCCGCGUGUGUGAAGAAGGUCUUCGGAUUGUAAAGCACUUUAAGUUGAGAGGAAGGGCAGUAAGUUAAUACCUUGCUGUUUUGACGUUACCAACAGAAUAAGCACCGGCUAACUUCGUG
rnacentral:rRNA from 1 species